UACAGAGGUCUCAAGCGUUGUUCGGAUUCAUUGGGCGUAAAGGGUGCGUAGGCGGCCCUGUAAGUCAGUGCUGAAAUAUCCCGGCUUAACCGGGAGGGUGGCAUUGAUACUGCGGGGCUAGAGUACAGAUGAGGUAGGCGGAAUUUACGGUGUAGCGGUGAAAUGCUUAGAUAUCGUCAAGAACACCUAUAGCGAAGGCAGCUUACUAGGCUGUAACUGACGCUGAGGCACGAAAGUGUGGGGAUCAAACAGG
rnacentral:rRNA from 1 species